rnacentral:tRNA from 1 species
CCAUUGGUGGCUGAGUGGUAAAGCAGCUGAAAACUCAUAGUUUGGUCCAGGUUUCGAAUCCUGGCAAAUAGG